GUAAAUUUCAAAUCCAUGGAACCAGCUGCAUUCACCCUUUUUAGCCACACCCUAGCUCAGAAAUCUUGCUUUGGAUUCUGCUUUACAGGUUGUUUGAUUUGAUACAAUCAAUAUCUUGAUGGCUUCUAGCUUUCCAUGCUCUGUGGCUCCAGUUGCAGGUGGGAUCUGAGACGGUGAGGCGGUCGGAGAAGUUGCAGAAGAGGACUAUAGCGGUGGUGAACCAUCUACGCCAUUUGCAAUUCAGCUGCUUAUUAUUGAUGCUGAGGCAAUUACUACUCCAGAUUUAUGAUUAUUUGUUGUUACAUGUUAAAAAAUCUUCAUGGUUACUGAUGAUAUUUCUCUAUCUCAUGCCGCUCGACUCUCCUUAUUACUGACUCUGGACGGCAGAGAUCCAUCAUCAGAUUUGCUCCGACUACUCCACACCGAGGAAAAUAUACAGCUUCGGCUGUCACCUUUUGUCUAUAUAGGUCCUUCUGGAAGCUUUCUUCUUAAGAUCGUAGCUUAUCAAGUGCAUGGUUCGUCCAGUCGUACUUAUUUCAUUGUUAUUGGAUGGACUUCGCCAGAAAUGCUGCAAAAUUUCAGAAGAUUGGAAUGAG